rnacentral:rRNA from 1 species
UACGUAGGGUGCAAGCGUUGUCCGGAAUCAUUGGGCGUAAAGCGCGUGUAGGCGGUUCGGUAAGUCCGCUGUGAAAGUCGGGGGCUCAACCCUCGAAAGCCGGUGGAUACUGUCGGGCUAGAGUACGGAAGAGGCGAGUGGAAUUCCUGGUGUAGCGGUGAAAUGCGCAGAUAUCAGGAGGAACACCAAUUGCGAAGGCAGCUCGCUGGGACGUUACUGACGCUGAGACGCGAAAGCGUGGGGAGCAAACAG